rnacentral:rRNA from 1 species
GACGAACGCUGGCGGCGUGCUUAACACAUGCAAGUCGAACGAUGAAGCUAGAGCUUGCUCUGGUGAAUUAGUGGCGAACGGGUGAGUAACACGUGAGUAACCUGCCCCGAACUCUGGGAUAACUGCUGGAAACGGUAGCUAAUACUGGAUACGACCUACGAAGGCAUCUUCUGUAGGUGGAAAGAAUUUCGGUUCGGGAUGGACUCGCGGCCUAUCAGCUUGUUGGUGAGGUAAUGGCUCACCAAGGCGACGACGGGUAGCCGGCCUGAGAGGGUGACCGGCCACACGGGGACUGAGACACGGCCCAGACUCCUACGGGAGGCAGCAGUGGGGAAUAUUGCACAAUGGGCGCAAGCCUGACGCAGCAACGCGGCGUGAGGGAUGACGGCCUUCGGGUUGUAAACCUCUUUUGGUAGGGAAGAAGCGAAAGUGACGGUACCUGCAGAAAAAGCACCGGCUAACUACGUGCCAGCAGCCGCCGUAA